UACGUAGGGUGCGAGCGUUGUCCGGAAUUAUUGGGCGUAAAGAGCUCGUAGGCGGUGUGUCACGUCGGCCGUGAAAACCUGGGGCUUAACUCUGGGCGUGCGGUCGAUACGGGCAUCACUAGAGUUCGGCAGGGGAGACUGGAAUUCCUGGUGUAGCGGUGAAAUGCGCAGAUAUCAGGAGGAGCACCGGUGGCGAAGGCGGGUCUCUGGGCCGAUACUGACGCUGAGGAGCGAAAGCAUGGGUAGCGAGCAGG
rnacentral:rRNA from 1 species